rnacentral:rRNA from 1 species
UGGGGAAUAUUGGGCAAUGGGCGCAAGCCUGACCCAGCCAUGCCGCGUGAGUGAUGAAGGCCUUCGGGUCGUAAAGCUCUGUGGGGAGGGAAGAAACUCCGUAUGGCUAACAUCCAUGCGGUUUGACGGUACCUCCUUAGCAAGCACCGGCUAACUCCGUGCCAGCAGCCGCGGUAAUACGGAGGGUGCAAACGUUGCUCGGAAUCAUUGGGCGUAAAGCGCACGUAGGCGGCUCGUUAAGUCGGAUGUGAAAGCCCCGGGCUCAACCCGGGAAGUGCAUUCGAAACUGGCGAGCUUGAAUAUGGAAGAGGGUCGCGGAAUUCCCGGUGUAGAGGUGAAAUUCGUAGAUAUCGGGAGGAACACCAGUGGCGAAGGCGGCGACCUGGGCCAAUAUUGACGCUGAGGUGCGAAAGCGUGGGGAGCAAACAGGAUUAGAUACCCCCGUAGUCC